rnacentral:rRNA from 1 species
UACGGAGGGUGCAAGCGUUAUCCGGAUUUACUGGGUUUAAAGGGUGUGUAGGCGGGCUUUUAAGUCAGUGGUGAAAUCUCCGAGCUCAACUUGGAAACUGCCAUUGAUACUAUUAGUCUUGAAUUCUGUUGAGGUAGGCGGAAUAAGUCAUGUAGCGGUGAAAUGCUUAGAUAUGACUUAGAACACCAAUUGCGAAGGCAGCUUACUAAACAGAUAUUGACGCUGAGGCACGAAAGCGUGGGGAUCAAACAGG